UACGUAGGGUGCGAGCGUUAAUCGGAAUUACUGGGCGUAAAGCGUGCGUAGACGGUUAUGUAAGUCAGGUGUGAAAGCCCCGGGCUCAACCUGGGAAUGCCAUUUGAGACUGCAUAGCUAGGGUACGGAAGAGGGAAGCGGAAUUUCAGGUGUAGCGGUGAAAUGCGUAGAUAUCUGAAGGAACACCAGUGGCGAAAGCGGCUUCCUGGUCCAGUACCGACGUUCAGGCACGAAAGCGUGGGGAGCAAACAGG
rnacentral:rRNA from 1 species